rnacentral:rRNA from 1 species
GACGAACGCUGGCGGCGUGCUUAACACAUGCAAGUCGAGCGGAAAGGCCCUGCUUGCAGGGUACUCGAGUGGCGAACGGGUGAGUAACACGUGGGUGAUCUGCCCUGCACUUCGGGAUAAGCCUGGGAAACUGGGUCUAAUACCGGAUAUGACCUUCCAUGUAGUGUGGGGGGUGGAAAGAUUUAUCGGUGUGGGAUGAGCCCGCGGCCUAUCAGCUUGUUGGUGGGGUAAUGGCCUACCAAGGCGUCGACGGGUAGCCGGCCUGAGAGGGUGGACGGCCACAUUGGGACUGAGAUACGGCCCAGACUCCUACGGGAGGCAGCAGUGGGGAAUAUUGCACAAUGGGCGGAAGCCUGAUGCAGCGACGCCGCGUGGGGGAUGACGGCCUUCGGGUUGUAAACCUCUUUCGACAGGGACGAAGCUUCGGUGACGGUACCUGUAGAAGAAGCACCGGCUAACUACGUG